rnacentral:rRNA from 1 species
UUCAUUGAGAGUUUGAUCCUGGCUCAGGAUGAACGUUGGCGGUGUGUCUAAGGCAUGCAAGUCGAGCGACGUGUUUACCUUCGGGUGAAUUACGAGCGGCAAAUGGGAGAGUAACACAUUGGUAACCUACCUUCGAGUCGAGCAUAGCCCAGCGAAAGCUGGAUUAAUACUCGAUAGUCAUGGGGGGUCUUCGGACAUUCCCAUGUAAACUUUUUGGCUCGAAGAGGGGCCUAUGACUUAUCAGCUAGUUGGUGAGGUAAUAGCUCACCAAGGCUACGACGAGUACCGGGCGUGAGAGCGUGACCCGGCUCACUGGGACUGAGACACGGCCCAGACUCCUACGGGAGGCUGCAGUCAAGAAUAUUCCACAAUGCCCGAAAGGGUGAUGGAGCGACACCGCGUGCAGGAAGACGCCCUUCGGGGUGUAAACUGCUUUUCUCUACGACGAAUUUGUGACGGUAGUAGAGGAAUAAGAGGUUGCUAACUCUGUGCCAGCAGCAGCGGUAAUACAGAGACCUCAAACGUUAUCCGGAUUCAUUGGGCGUAAAGCGUCCGCAGGUGGUUUAGUACGUUAUGGGUCAAAUCCUAAGGCUUAACUUUAGGACUGCUCGUAAUACGGCUAAACUAGAGGCUGGUAGAGGCAAGCGGAACUGUCAGUGUAGUCGUAAUAAGCGCUGAUAUUGACAGGAACACCAAAGGCGAAAGCAGCUUGCUGGAACAUGCCUGACACUCAUGGACGAAAGCGUGGGGAGCGAAGGGGAUUAGAUACCCCCGUAGUCCACGCCCUAAACGAUGUGUACUAGGUAUUCGGAGUAUCGACCCUCCGAGUGCCGUUGAAAAAAGCUAACGCGUUAAGUACACCGCCUGGGGAGUACGGCCGCAAGGUUAAAACUCAAAGGAAUAGACGGGGACCCGCACAAGUAGAGGAUCAUGCGGUUUAAUUCGAUGAUACGCGUGGAACCUUACCUAGGCUUGACAUGUAGCUGCAAGCCCCGAGAAACCGGGGCCGCUUUCGAAGGUGCUACACAGGUGCUGCAUGGUUGCCGUCAGCUCGUGCCGUGAGGUGUACCGUUCAGUCGGGUAACGAGCGCAACCCUCGUCGUGUGUUACAUUGUACACACGAGACUGCCCCGGUAACGGGGAGGAAGGCGGGGACGACGUCAAAUCAGCAUGGCUCUUACGCCUAGGGCAACACGCAUGAUACAAUGGUCGGUACAAUGGGUAGCCAAACCGCGAGGUGGAGCUAAUCCCACAAAGCCGAUCCCAGUUCAGAUUGUAGGCUGCAAUUCGCCUGCAUGAAGUUGGAUUUACUAGUAACCGCGAAUCAGAACGUCGCGGUGAAUACGUUCUCGGGUCUUGUACUCACCGCCCGUCAUACCACGAAAGUUGGCAGCACCCGAAAGCUCUUUUUUAAGGGAUUAAGGUGAGGUCAGUAAUCAGGGUAAAGUCGUAACAAGGCAUCCGUAGCGGAAGCUGUGGAUGGAUCACCUCCUUU